rnacentral:lncRNA from 1 species
CAGCGGAAUGACGGUAAAGAAGCUCUAAAUCGAGCUGACUCGAAGGAAAUGGAAAAAUGAACACAAUGAAACCCUAGAAAGGAGGGGAAACUAGAUUUGGACCGAUUAAACGGUGGAAAUCGAAGUUUAAUCGGUGAAAAAUGUUUGGAUCGGUUCAAAAGUGAUUUUAAUCGGCUAGGUUUGAAGGAAAAUUGAAAUAAAGGAGUAAACCUUAGGGUUUGUUGUUCUAUGAUGGUAAAGAGGCAGAGAAAUGCAAGAAGAAAGAGAUUCUGUGAUGAAAUGAAGNUUACAGUGAGAGGAAGGUGGUUAAUGGCCGUGGAGCUCUCGGAAGAGUGAAAGGAAAAUGUUGCUUCUGUGAAAUGAAGAUUGAUGCGCUGGUGAUGUAUCGAAGCGUAAAAGAAAUGCUGACGCGUGCUAAAGUUGU